AUCGUACGGGAGGCAGCAGUGGGGAAUAUUGGACAAUGGACCAAGAGUCUGAUCCAGCAAUUCUGUGUGCACGAUGAAGUUUUUCGGAAUGUAAAGUGCUUUCAGCAGGGAAGAAAAAAUGACGGUACCUGCAGAAGAAGCGACGGCUAAAUACGUGCCAGCAGCCGCGGUAAUCGA
rnacentral:rRNA from 1 species